AUCUUUUUCUCUCGCACAAAAAACUAAAGCUGCACUUUGCCUUUCCCUUUUGUUAGUCAUUACAGUUUUUAGUUUGCACAGCUGGUUUUAAUCAAAAGGAUGUCCUCAUACUUUACUGAUUGCUCAUCUCCCUCUGCAAUCUCUCUUUUCUUGCCCCAGGUAUUCGCUGAGUUGAAUAGAAUUGCCAAUAAGAAUCUUGAAGCACAGUUCUUUGAGACUUUGGACCAGCACACCCCUCGCUUUUUGGAACUCUUCAAGUCGAAAAAAGGAGCCAUUGGACAGAAACUAAAAGAGCUGAUCCAGGGCACAAACUUGGUGCCACAAGAUGUGACUUGCACUGCGCCCCAUUGUCCUCAAAGGAAUUCCCAUUGCAGUGGGUGAUAACUCCAGUGAUUUCUUCAACACAUGCUAUGACACAAGCGAUGAGACCCUGGCAUCUGUUACGGUUGGUGUUGUGACUGUUGUCAGUAAAGAUGAUUUUCAGCCCAUUUCAACUGCCAUUGUCCUUGAGGGACGCAUUGUC